UGAGGAAUAUUGGUCAAUGGGCGAGAGCCUGAACCAGCCAAGUAGCGUGCAGGAUGACGGCCUUCCGGGUUGUAAACUGCUUUUAGUUGGGAAUAAAAAAAGGGACUUGUCCCUUCUUGUAUGUACCUUCAGAAAAAGGACCGGCUAAUUCCGUGCCAGCAGCCGCGGUAAUACGGAAGGUCCAGGCGUUAUCCGGAUUUAUUGGGUUUAAAGGGAGCGUAGGCGGAUUGUUAAGUCAGCGGUUAAAGGGUGUGGCUCAACCAUGCAUUGCCGUUGAAACUGGCGAUCUUGAGUGCAGACAGGGAUGCCGGAAUUCGUGGUGUAGCGGUGAAAUGCUUAGAUAUCACGAAGAACUCCGAUCGCGAAGGCAGGUGUCCGGGCUGCAACUGACGCUGAGGCUCGAAAGUGUGGGUAUCAAACAGGAUUAGAUACCCUGGUAGUCCACACAGUAAACGAUGUAUACUCGCGGUUUGCGAUAGACAGUAAGCCGCCAAGCGAAAGCAUUAAGUAUACCACCUGGGGAGUACGCCGGCNACGGU
rnacentral:rRNA from 1 species